rnacentral:rRNA from 1 species
CCUACGGGGGGCAGCAGUGGGGAAUAUUGGACAAUGGGCGCAAGCCUGAUCCAGCCAUGCCGCGUGAGUGAUGAAGGCCUUAGGGUUGUAAAGCUCUUUUAUCCGGGACGAUAAUGACGGUACCGGAGGAAUAAGCCCCGGCUAACUUCGUGCCAGCAGCCGCGGUAAUACGAAGGGGGCUAGCGUUGCUCGGAAUCACUGGGCGUAAAGGGCGCGUAGGCGGCGUUUUAAGUCGGGGGUGAAAGCCUGUGGCUCAACCACAGAAUGGCCUUCGAUACUGGGACGCUUGAGUAUGGUAGAGGUUGGUGGAACUGCGAGUGUAGAGGUGAAAUUCGUAGAUAUUCGCAAGAACACCGGUGGCGAAGGCGGCCAACUGGACCAUCACUGACGCUGAGGCGCGAAAGCGUGGGGAGCAAACAGGAUUAGAUACCC